ACCUCCCAAAGUGCUGGGAUUACAGGCAUGAGCCCCUGCACUCAGCCUAGGAUGUUUAAAAUUUAACUGCAUUAGUAAAAAAAAAAAACAGGAAAAGACUAGACCUUUGUAUUUUAUUUAGUCUUCUGCUGUCUUGCAGUUGAUCCUCCACCUUCCCUGAAGUGGUUAGGACAACUCCCUGUUUUUGCAGAAGGGCAGAGUGAAAGCAAGUGUCUUCUGUUGUUGCUGAAGCAGGCCAGCAGCCCACAAAGAUGUUGGACUUAAUCCAGCCCCAUUCUAAGCAGCUGGAUCUCCACACCUGCAGUCUUCCUGGAUUUUGAUUUUCUGUACACUUGGGCUUCCCACUAAUUUGGCAAGUUCAUACCAGUCCAGGACCCUUCCUGGCAGAGGUUGGCAUUCAAAACUGGUUGUAGCCACUCCUCCAGGCUCUUCUCCCUGAAUAAACAGAGGCCGGAUACUCUGGAGUGCUGUUCCCCGCUAGGCCUCCCUGGGAUGAGAGGGAGACCUCCCUCCCUCAUGGAGCAGGGCUGUUCUAGCUCUGUGGAUCCUGGAGUUUACCAGCCUGGCAGUCUCCAGGGAGUCCUGUUAAGAACACAGAUUGUGGCUGUGUCUCACCACAUGCCUGCCCAAACCCCAUGUUCAAAUCUGAAUUGCUCAGUGUAGAGCCCAGAAAUCUAUUAAGUUCAAAAAGCUAUUGUGGUGGUUCUGAUUGUGCCACACUGCAGUGGGAGCCACGGAUGACCAGUGAUCCCAUUUUGGGGAAGAGGAACUGCGGAUUAGUGCCUCCUGAACAUCUAGCCUGCAGAGCCUUUUCCCGAGCCUCCGUUUUCCUUCUUGGGGAAACGCCUGGGUGCCUGGGCUUCUGAAGGUGUGAAUAUGGGUGUGACAUGGGGAGUGAGCGAAAGCAGCACACUGCAAAGUCUGGCAGGGUGACUGGCAGUGUGAGAGUGGGGAGGUGGUCCAGAGACCCUCCUGGACCCCGGGAAGAAGCAUGCCAGAGCCUUUCCUUUCUGUCUUGCCCACCCAGCAGAAUCUCACCAUAAUCAUUUGACAGAUUAUAUUCAAGCACUGUGAGAGGGAGGUAGAAACAUCCUUUCAGAGCACAUUGGAAAUGUUUCGAGUUAUGAUUGAAGUAGAGACUCAUUCAUUCUGCUUAAGGUUCAGCAGAGCCUCCUGAAUUUUCUCAAAGAUGAGAUCAUUUUGUUCUUUGCAGAUCGAUUGCAAGCUGUUGUGCCUCUUAGCAGAGUCAGAGCGCAGUCAGGAAAUGAGUGGCCAUUCUCUCCUUAGUGUUUUCAGCAACUUGCAGUGAUGGCUGAGCAAGUUCCUGUGCAACUGCCUGAAAGUGAUUUGUUGGAGAGGAAUGAAGAGCAUGGCCAGAUGCCUUGGAGCCCAGCUCAUCUAGGACUUCCAUUUUCCCCUCUAAAUAACAGCCUGUGUUGUUCACACGAGAAUCGACUGCACCUCCGAGAACAUCAUUUGUCCCCUGUUUUUUUGGGUAGGUUUGCCCUUUAUGAGGGUGGAACCUGUACACAGGACCUGUGGCAGUGUUUGAUAUUAGCCAGGGCUGGGAAGGCUUAACUGUUGGAUGCUAGCAGGGCUGCUUGUGAGUCAGAAAGCUUCAUGCCACCCAUGAGGCUUGCUUAGUGCUGUCCUCAUUUCUGGAAUGACACGCAGUCACCUUAUAUAAACCAUUCUACAUGUUUGUUACUUUCUAUUGACAUUUAAAAAUGGUGUUCUGAUGUUUAUCAUCCAAAGUAGAAAACUAUUAAUCAUCCAGACCUACUUUUUCUCCUUUAAGUUUUGCUGUUUUCAUAUUGCUCUUAAAUGUUUAAGAGAGCUUACAUAAGAAACUGCUUAUUAGGAUCUUUGAGACCUUCUGGCACUGAUGAACACAGGUGAGCCCUGUGCCACACCUCACCGUGUUAUUCUCCAGCCCCUCCUGGGUUCCCUUUUGUUAUGAAUCAAGUGCACACUCCUGAUCUGCUUCUGCCUCAGAGCAUAGACUCAGCUGGCCUUCUUUUUUUUUGAGACAAUUACACUCUGUUUCCCAGGCUGGAGUGCAGUGGUGCAGUCUUGGCUCACUGCAACAUCUGCCUCCUGGGUUCAAGCGAUUCUUUUGCCUCAGCCUCCCUAGUAGCUGGGAUUACAGGCACGCGCCACCACACCCAUCAGCCGGCCUUCUGAGGCAGCCUCCAGAGUCCCUUGUUUUGCAGGUGCAGGAUUUAUCUCUAUGUGUCACGUGGCACAUGUGAUACCAUGUGAGAUAUCCGGUGUUAAGUCUUCACAUAUUUCGAUGAAGAUAUCUUGGGGACCUUGGCAGCUUUUUAGGAAGCCAGGCAGCUUGCAAAAGCUUAGGAAGAAUUUGGGGGGAAAGGAAUGAAUGUGGGAUUUUCUGUCUGUCAACAUACAUAUAUAUACAUGUGCCACAUAUUGGCAGGUACUUGCAGAAGCCUUAUCACUAAAUUCUCAUCAGCUCUCUGAAGCAGAAGCUGUGAAGUGUCUUAUGUAUGGGACAGCGGACUCAGAGAGGCAGUGUGCCUGGCCUGUGGCAAAACAGAAAGACUUCUGUGGCUUUACCCCACCUUGUUCCUGAGUAGGUGAUAGAUCUGCCUUUAGCAGGCCUGGCUGCUUUGUACUCCCCAGGCACAGCGUGAGGUGAUAAACAGUCCUGAAUCCAUCUUUGUACAGUUCAUCAGAAAUAUUGGCCUGCUUUUUGAACCUGGGUCUGGACUUAGGAGACUGUCCCGGCUUUUCACUCACUUCUUUACCGCAUCUGAAAUUCACUGGGUGCCCACAGUGAGCGAGUCCCAGUGUUAAAUGCCAUAGAGUGGAUAAGUCUGCCCACUUCGAGGCCGUUCUCCAGAGCAUGUCCUGCCUUGCCCUGGUCCGAAGCAGGCAGUUUCUCCUCUAGACUCCAUUUUAUUUUAAUUUGAAUCAUUUUUCCUAAGCUCAGCACUUUUCUACUUUGCCUUGGGGUCACAUCUCUGUUCAGAGUUCUGAGGCAGAGUCUGUGUGUUUCAUCUCUGCCUCUUGAUCCCUGGCAGGGUCCACAGGCUCAGAAAAGAUUGAAGGAGUGACUGUGUCGAAAGGGCUAGAACAUGGGCCUGGGCCCAGAGCUCAAAAGCAGUUCCAGAAAACCUGCCUAUAAAGGGUGUAGGUGUGUCCCAGGAAGGCUUCCAUUGGUUCCUAAGAACUGCAGAGUUAUCCUGGGCUCCUAAAGGUACCCUGAGGCCUGCUCCUUUUUGUCACUUUCCAAAUGGCCUUCUCUGCACAAAGGACUUCAGUAUUGAUUUCCUCAGUUCUCCCUUACAGGUCUGGAGAAGCUCUUUUUGUUUCACCCAAUGACACAGCAUCUUCCAACAGGGCUGGAGAGGCCGGGAGCUGGCAGCAGCCAGACCCCGCUUCCAUAGCUGCACAGAGAGCAGCCCUGGGCACUGUGAAAGGAGUCUCUUAAAAAUCUUCUCUCGUGUGGCUGGCAGUAAGAUCAGAUACCAUAUACGUGAAGCUUCUUAUUCACUGUCAAUUCAGAAAAGCCUAGAAUCGCAGAGUGCCGGCUCUAUGCGUCAGGAACCUGUAAACAACCCAGCCAUCCGAGAGCUCCCAGCACAGAGCUGUGCUCCAGUGAACUGGGAAGACUUUUUACAGAAAAUUCCUUAGUAUUCAAUUGAGAACAAACAUUUCCCAUUUUAAAGUAUCUUCCUCAGUGUUUAUUAAAGUAGAAUUCUAUAUUUUUUUGUCAUUUAAAAAAUUCUUCCUUGACACUGAAUGAAUGAAUAAAUGAAUGGAUGGUUUAAAAAUCCAAACAGUGGGAGGAUGGGAAGGCCCCUUCAUGUGCAGAGGAAAAGCCAGACCCUUCACUGGUCCUUCCUUUCAGGAUCAGUUCAGACCGCUAGCAUCCAAGCCCGGUUAGCACUUCUUCCUGGGUUGGGUUGAGGGGGAGGGUCUUCCUCGGUUCUGAUAGCACUCCAUGCCCAGCGUCCCUGUGGUCUUGGGGCUGUGGUGACUCAGAAUUAAGCUGAGUGCUCUCACUGUCCUGGCCCCUUUCUGGCUGGCCCGAUGACUCAGCACCGAGUGCUGGCUCCCUGACCCAGAGCACACUUGAACUGAAUGUUCCAGGUCUGAGCCUCAGCCCAACGUGGCUGGGCAAAAUGGAAGCCUCUCUCUCAUGCUGCAUUUUACCCUGGAAGAUGAAGGUUUUGGAGAUGUUAGUGACACAUGGAUGUUACCACAGUGUACAGCUGUGACAGGAGUGGCAGAAAGGUUAGCAUCUAACUGGCCUUACCAUCAAUUCUGGGUUCUAGAGAUCUUAGGCAAAGCACUUACCCUCCCUGAGCCUCAGUCUCCCCUUCUGUGAAAUGGGCAUAGCAAAACUCCUGCCAACAGGGUUGGGAGAAUCAAGGGAGAUAGUGCAUCGGAGGUGAAUGCCCCACAGCCUGAACUGAUGGAUGUGUGGAACCCCCAGAAACAUUUGCAGCCUGCUCUGUGGAAUAGAAAUGUGUUUUCGGAUAGGUGUGUGGCCUCUCCACACAGUAGACUGUCCUGGCUGUCCAUGGGCCUUUCAGAUGUCCGAGAGGCUUGGGAUCUUGUUUCUUAGAUUAGAAGCGAGGCCUCCUCUUAUCCUCCUGUACAGAGUGUAACUGACUCCCUCUACCAGCGUCUAGGUGGCUCUCAGAGCCCUUCCUGGGGCUUCCCAUGCCCCUUGUGAGUGGAAGACAUAGAAGAACAGUAACAGGUGAAGCUGCGGGGCCUUGACCUGUCUGCCGUCCCCUGCCUGUGUGUCCGUAGAUGCAUCUCCCCAUUCUAUGCCCAAGACAGGCUGGGGCCUUGUUUCCAGCACUGUGCUGUGUAGAGCACUGGCUUUACUCAGCCCCAGCUCCUCCAGGGGAGGGUCUCCUUAGCCUUGUCUGUGUAGCCCCGAAGUACCAGGCAGGAAGUAGGAGUGCAGCCUGUAAGGGGGGAUAUCAGGCUGCCUUACUGAGGUACCAAUUACCUGCACAGCUGUUCUGGACCCAACUCUUAGGGGUGUAAAUGUCACUGCAGAUGGAAGGAGGGAGGGGUUUUCCGAGUGCCACCACCUUCUUUCAGGGAGUGUGGCUGCUUGGGCCAAAUGCUUGAGAAGCUGCUGUAGGUGGGAGCAGAGCCCCCCGGGACUUAAGGGUCUCACCGUCCAUCAGAGACCCUUGCCUGCACUGCAGCUGAUGAACUGAGGAUGUUUUUCUUUUGGAAAUUGUAUUUUGUACAGAAUACACGUCCGCUGAUGCUGUGCACUGAGACCUAACAGACAGUUGUAGGGUGGUGUCUGGAUGACGGACUCGCCAGGUAGCUGACCAGGGUGUUCACUUUUAGCAUGGAUAUGUAGCAGAUGAGAGAGGCCCUUUUCCUUGUCUCUGUCUAAAUUCAGAGUUUGCUUCCUGGGAUGGAAAUUUCAGGUACUUUCCAUCUGUGAUUUGUGACUGGAGGAUUAAAGCACGUGGCUCUGCUUUUUUUUUUCCUGAAGAAGAGAUAGGUCGUUUCUCAUGUGCCCUGAAGCUAACUUUUGUGCGACAUCCCAGUCCCUACCUCUGCCACAUGAAACCCGUGAGGCGGGCUGCAGGGGCUGGGGCUGCAGGCAGGCUGGAUUCUGACAAGUGCCCCCAGCAGGAGAAAUACCAGCAGCUGCGGAUGGUGCCUGGCCUGGGGACGCCUGACGUGUGCCCUGGUGAGGGUCCGCCGAGGGUGUUGAGGAAACGCCAGCAGAUGUUCUGCUCCCAGACAGACCCUUCUGUGCCCCAGCCUGGCUUGGCUUUUCUCCCUAGGCCUCAGGGAGAUGUGUGCACAGAGCCGCAGUCAGUGCACCUGGGUGUCCCUGCUCAGCUGAGAGUUUGUCUGCAGUGCAGGCCUCUUCCCCAGAGCAGUGGCCCGGCCUGUUGGAGAGGCGGGUGGUUUAGGGCUUAAGUCCUUAGAGUUGUUUUUGGCUGUUUGCUUCCAGGUUGUGAAACUUUAAAUACAGUCUUCAGCAGAGAAAGUGACAUCCUUGCUAAUUAGCCCUCUUAAGACUCUCAGGCUUUUCUGGUCCCGGUCGCAGAGGCAGGAUGACGAAGGGAACGUCAUCGUUUGGGAAGCGUCGCAGUAAGACGCACACGUUGUGCCGCCGCUGUGGCUCUAAGGCCUGCCACCUUCAGAAGUCAACCUGCAGCAAAUGUGGCUACCCCACCAAGCGCAAGAGAAAGUAUAACUGGAGUGCCAAGGCUAAAAGACGAAAUAACCACCGGGACUGGUCGAAUGAAGCACCUAAAAAUUGUAUACCGCAGAUUCAGGCGUGGAUUCCAUGAGGGAACAACACCUAAACCCAAGAGGGCAGCUGUUGCAGCAUCCAGUUCAUCUUAAGAAUUUCACCGAUUAGUCAUGCAAUAAAUGUUCUGGUUUUAAAAAUA